rnacentral:rRNA from 1 species
GACGGGGGGGGGGGGAACGCUGGCGGCGUGCCUAAUACAUGCAAGUAGAACGCUGAGGUUUGGUGUUUACACUAGACUGAUGAGUUGCGAACGGGUGAGUAACGCGUAGGUAACCUGCCUCAUAGCGGGGGAUAACUAUUGGAAACGAUAGCUAAUACCGCAUAAGAGUAAUUAACACAUGUUAGUUAUUUAAAAGGAGCAAUUGCUUCACUGUGAGAUGGACCUGCGUUGUAUUAGCUAGUUGGUGAGGUAAAGGCUCACCAAGGCGACGAUACAUAGCCGACCUGAGAGGGUGAUCGGCCACACUGGGACUGAGACACGGCCCAGACUCCUACGGGAGGCAGCAGUAGGGAAUCUUCGGCAAUGGACGGAAGUCUGACCGAGCAACGCCGCGUGAGUGAAGAAGGUUUUCGGAUCGUAAAGCUCUGUUGUUAGAGAAGAACGUUGGUAGGAGUGGAAAAUCUACCAAGUGACGGUAACUAACCAGAAAGGGACGGCUAACUACGUGCCAGCAGCCGCGGUAAUACGUAGGUCCCGAGCGUUGUCCGGAUUUAUUGGGCGUAAAGCGAGCGCAGGCGGUUCUUUAAGUCUGAAGUUAAAGGCAGUGGCUUAACCAUUGUACGCUUUGGAAACUGGAGGACUUGAGUGCAGAAGGGGAGAGUGGAAUUCCAUGUGUAGCGGUGAAAUGCGUAGAUAUAUGGAGGAACACCGGUGGCGAAAGCGGCUCUCUGGUCUGUAACUGACGCUGAGGCUCGAAAGCGGGGGGGGGGGGGGGGGGGGGGGGUGGGGAGCAAACAGGAUUAGAUACCCUGGUAGUCCACGCCGUAAACGAUGAGUGCUAGGUGUUAGGCCCUUUCCGGGGCUUAGUGCCGCAGCUAACGCAUUAAGCACUCCGCCUGGGGAGUACGACCGCAAGGUUGAAACUCAAAGGAAUUGACGGGGGGGGGGGGGGGGGGGGGCCCGCACAAGCGGUGGAGCAUGUGGUUUAAUUCGAAGCAACGCGAAGAACCUUACCAGGUCUUGGGGGGGGGGGGGGGGGGGGGGGGGGGGACAUCCUUCUGACCGGCCUAGAGAUAGGCUUUCUCUUCGGAGCAGAAGUGACAGGUGGUGCAUGGUUGUCGUCAGGGCCCGGGGGGGGGGCUCGUGUCGUGAGAUGUUGGGUUAAGUCCCGCAACGAGCGCAACCCCUAUUGUUAGUUGCCAUCAUUAAGUUGGGCACUCUAGCGAGACUGCCGGUAAUAAACCGGAGGAAGGUGGGGAUGACGUCAAAUCAUCAUGCCCCUUAUGACCUGGGCUACACACGUGCUACAAUGGUUGGUACAACGAGUCGCAAGCCGGUGACGGCAAGCUAAUCUCUUAAAGCCAAUCUCAGUGGCGGGCUGCGAGGGGCUGGGGCAUCGGGGA